UACGUAGGUGGCAAGCGUUGUCCGGAUUUACUGGGCGUAAAGAGCGCGCAGGCGGUCGUUCAAGUCGCGUGUGAAAGCCCCCGGCUCAACUGGGGAGGGUCACGCGAUACUGAUCGACUCGAAGGCAGGAGAGGGUAGUGGAAUUCCCGGUGUAGUGGUGAAAUGCGUAGAGAGUCCGGAGGAAGACCGGUGGCGAAGGCGGUCUGCUGGGCAGUUUCUGACACUGAGGCGCGACAGCGUGGGGAGCAAACAGG
rnacentral:rRNA from 1 species